rnacentral:lncRNA from 1 species
CACUGACCAAUAGGGACGAACGAGUGGGACGUGUGAGGCUGUGCUGAGAAAGACGCCAGCAGGGCGUGUAAUCCCAGCUGUUCAAUGGGCACCUGUGGAGGGUUUCAGGAAGAUGGGCUGGAAGACAAGCCGGCGUUCUGAACAUCUCCUCUGUACCCCGCUCAGGGCCGCAGGCACAUGCUGACUCUCUGCUUGCUCACAUCUCACAUCACGGAGAGUCCAGGACCUCCCACGAUGCCCCCGGGCCUGCUCAUCCCUUCAGCAGUGGAGGCUGUAGGCUGUAGGAUGAGCAAGGAACCCAGGAAGAACAGGUCGGGACUGAUGGCUUGCCUGUCUCCCUCCUGCUGCGGGACAGUCACCUGCUGCAGAAGAAUCCAGUGGCAUUUAAUAAGUAAUGACGAACGGUUUCUCAGAUUUAAUCAAAGCCACAAAGUGCAGUUCGAGGCUGUGCAGCUGGUUCCCAACAAAAGCUUCACUGUGUGGAAGAAGAGGAUAGAGCUUGGAUGGACUGCAGGCACCUCGACAUACAGUGGCUGAGAGAAUUGUGGAAGGUUGUGCAAUUAGCAAGCAACAGACUGAGCUCUAAACCCAUGUUGGUCUGACAUCAAAAUCUACAUUGCAAAUGUUCUGUCUGCCCUGGAGUAAAAAUAUUUGAUACAGAAAGAGGCAGGUGGGGUUUACUUUUUCUCAUUUUCUCUAUCUCCUUCCUCCCUCCCUCCCUCCCUCCCUUCCUGCCUUCCUUCCUUCCUUCCUUUCUCCAGUUGCCUUUAUUCUCAGCUGCAACUUCAGGAGCUCAGAGAGAAACACUGUCCCCUGCAUCCUCCUU